rnacentral:miRNA from 1 species
AAGUUCUGUGAUACACUCGGACU